GUAUUUUCUGUAACAUUUGGUUCCCUGACCAGGAAACCCAACCGUGUUGGCCCAUUGUUGCCACCGGUUUGGAGCAAUGGGGCCGUGAUGGAACAGGGGAUGAAAAUGGAGAAGGCACGCCCUCCUGAUCUUUUGGCAGUCUCCCACAGGGUCACCCUGGGCCAGCCCUGCUCCGCUGUUCCCGCUGGACUCAAGGAGGCUUGGCAAGUGAGGACCUGGUUCCUAUGUUGAAUCUGAGUGAAAAGGGCCCAUCAUCCCGAGGAGGAAGCACAUCAGUGGGAGGCCCAGCCAGACCUCCGGAUCCUAUAUGCCUCUGCAUCCAAUGAUUGCCCUCUAAUAGACACCUGCACGCUGUGGAUCCUGUCUCUUGUCAGAGUGGUGUCUUUUAUUCUGGGCAUUGGACUCUGCGCUGUUGCACCCCUGGACUGGACUACUCCUCAAAAAAAAGUUGCCCUUUCUGUUGUCUAUUGGGUAAUCACUAAGUUGUUUUACUGUGCUCACUUGUCUCUCCUAGCUGGACCCAAGUCUCAGCCUGCAUUUCCAAAGAACCUCUCUGUAAUGUUUAAUUGUACAAAAGUUAUAAAGUGCAUAGUGGGCUAAAGGGAGCUACCUCCUUUUCCCCAGUGAGAUUUCCUAGGCAGAACAAGCUGCCCCUUUACUGAUCCCUGCUCUAGUCAGGCUCAGUGGAGCUGGAUAAGCUGCAGUAGACACAGCAGCUCUAAUAAAGAGAGACUUAGGACUUGAUGCCCUAACAGAGGAAGCUGAUCAAGGUUUAGAGAAGCUUGAAACCACCAUGAGUCAGCUGCAAGAUCAAAUUGAUUCCCUAGCUGAAGUGGUGUUGCAAAAUCCUUGAGGACUGGACCUCCUGUUCAUGUCACAGGGAGGCUUAUGUGUAGCCCUUAAAGAAGAUUGUUGUUUUUAUGCAAAUAAGUCUGGCAUAGUUAGGAGCUAUCUAACCAAAGCAAAAGAAAA